AGUGGAGUUGAUGCAGUGAUUGCAGACUCACCACAUUGACGCGGCCAUUCCCGUUGGAUGAGGUGUGUGUGCGCAGGAGCUUCUGGACAGGAGAGGGAAGAGUGGUGAGAAAAGGCCUGAGAUGAGAGCCUUCUGAAACCCCCAGAUGCUGCCAAUGCCACCUGACUGCCUCUCUGAUGUCUCUGAUGACCUGGGAUGACGGUGGCUGCCUGUCAGCACAGCAUUUUGCAGGAGAAUCAAAGGAAAAAAAUAUCAAUGUGAAGAGUUCCUGCGGUGGCACACUCGCGGACAGUGGCUUCCUCUCGGGCAAUCACCUCCUCUAGGGUUUACACAGGCUGGCAGUCGCAGAAGGCUGGCGGACCUGCUUAUUACAGACACUAUUUGAACAGACAUUGUGUUUAUUCAGCUUGAGGAGAGGGGAAAAAACACAGUCCUUGACUGUAUUAUCAUCUUCCAUUUUCAUAUUGGCUGCAGGUUGAUUUGACACAGCCAUUGUCAUUGUGUUGAGUUUUUGGUGCUGACAUACCUCUCCAGGCUCGUAGACCAAUGCCAGUGCUGCUACAAAAGCAGCGACAUCCCCUCCUGUUGAAAUGAUUUUACACGUAAAAGGAGACCACUGUUGGGGAUGCUGUUUUUAUUUAUUUAUUUAUUUUUGUGGGGUGCCUCAACAGGAUGUGAAUCCCCCUCAGAGCUUCAGCAAGCACAAAGACAGACGGCUCAUAUCAGACUGGCACAGAUUGUGCCCACUGCUUCAAACAUGGAGCUGCGGGCACGGCAGAUGAGGUCGAAGGGGCUGUGUAGAGUGAGAGAUAGGCUGCUGCCACUGGGACUGUGGAAAAAGAAUGAGUGAAAGAGAGAGAGAGAGAGAGAACAGAUGUCUGUGAUUGUGUGUGUGUCUGUGUUUGGGAAAGGAGGUUAGAAUGGAUAAUAGACGUGUGUGUGUGUGUAGGAGAAAGGAGGUUAGAAUGGACGUGUGUGUGUGUGUGUGUGUUCGGUCCUCUCCCUCUGAUCAGGUAUUCCAUUAAUGAGUUGGGUCGUCUAGGCUCCGCUCGGUGGUGUAGUGAGAUCUGCAGAGACGGUGGGAGCACGUGGCAGGACUGGCAAUGCUCUGGUAAUGAGCACCACUGUGGCCCCAUCAGUCCGUCCCUCGGCCUCCCUGGGCCAGGGCACGCUCGGCCCACACCCCUCCCCCACAUCUCCUGACCACCUUGGUUUGCUGAGCCCUUCCACCUACUGUAGCACCGUAGCUCCUCAUCAGACUCGAUCAGUAGCCCACUCAGCCAAGUGACCCGGUCACUCACAGCUCACCCAGACAGACUCAACCAACCUUCUGCUGAACCUCCCCUUCCUCAUACUCCACUUCUAAACUUUAAACUGGGGGCAGUGUGGUUGGCCUGUGGAGGAUUUUCUUUUUGUCCCUACACUCCCGUGGCACUGAAAAGUAUUUCACUUUCAUUUAUGGAAUAUCAUAGUACGGCAUAUUUCAGGAUUUAUUUCAGCAUAGCAUGAGUCAUAGGUCACCACAAAUGUAAUGCAAUUUAAUGGUGUGUAAAUGCAGAUUUAAAGAUGGGGAACAAAGUCUUUUAUCCAAUUGUAAUGUUUUGGUUUGAAUCAUUCAAACAUGAACCAACAUGACAACAGAAAGUUCUGUCUUGUAGAUCUAUAUUUACAAGUCAGAAGUCUAAGUCUAUGUGACCAGGCUGUACCUUCAACAAUGUGUGUCUGAAGGAAGAAUGAAAAAAUCUAGUAGGUAGAUAAAUAAAUAAAUGGAAAACAGCGAGCAUUCUUGGCACACAGGCUGACCCGGAUGCUCCGCUCCUCACUUCAAUCACAACCAAUUCAAUCACACCAGUGCUCAGGUGGAACAACACAGCGUACGGAAUUCAGAUUAACGUGUCGUGAAACACGGCAUCACGUUAAUAUAUCCGUGAAACGCUAGCUCUCUCACGGGUUAUCGCUACGGCAAGGCUUGUGCUGCCACAGCUCAGGAGUUGUCAAAACACACUGGGUAUAUUUACAUUUAAAUCGUUUAGCGAACACGUUUGUCUUCCGUGACGGUAAAGGCGUACAUUGGCACCGUACAUGAUGUGUGCUCCCAGCAGGACCAUAAAGUGCCAUCUCACAUAUUAGAUGUGUUAAUGCCCUGUUCAGGCAGCUAACCUACACAGUGACAUACAUGCCCAUUUAGCCUACAUGAAAAAUGGAAUGGAAUACUUUAGUGUAGGUCGAUUUGUACUGCAUUAAUAUUGUAAGAUAUGUUACACAAGACAAUGUGAGUGUCAUGGGUAAGCAUGGAUAAUGCUACGGUCAUAAAAAAGUCAUAACUUCCUGCAAAAACACUAACCUGCAGUAAAUACAGCAAUUUCUUUGUUGUAGUAUUUGGUCAAUAGUUUCAGAUGAAUAGACCAUUGCCAAGCCACUUAUUCUGUUUUUCCAUUGCACGGCUCUAAAUGGGCUUCAUUCAGCUCACACAGCUGCUGUUUCUCAGAACGAGCGUUUGUGAACCUGAGAGGCGGAGGCAGACUCUUUGCCCUCGGUGGCUGAACCAAAGUCUCGUCUGGGGGUCUCGGCAUGUCCAGAGGAGGCCGCGCUGAAGGGCACCAAGGACACAGGCUGUCAUGUACACAGGCUGUCAUGUUCAGCAGUGCUAAUAAUGGUCAUACAGAGCUGCAGUUACUCCAUGUCUUCACAUGACUCCUAUGUUCAUACCAGACCCUUCAAGUUACAAAGUGCUGGUUAAUGUACCACAAAAUAGGACUUAGUGGGAUGAGAUCAUUAAAUAUAUAUAUAUAUCAUAUGAUAUACCAUUGAAAAAUGUAUCGGUACUGUUG